AUGGAUGGAAAACAACAACGGGACAUAGUGGACCCUGGAUUCAAGCUUUGCGCUCCAGUUCUGAAGAGAGCAGUAGGUAGACCAAGGAAGAGUCGAAUCAAACCUUGCAGCGAAGCAGCUGGACUUGGAGCUAGGAAGCAUAAGUGCACAGGGUGUGGUGGGUCUGGUCAUUUCGGUAAGAAUUGUGAUAACACAGUAGAUCCAGCGUUCAGAGAGUGUUUCGAGGAUGGCUUUGAUGAAAAUGUUGGUCAGCAGCUGGUUGCCGCAACAGAUGAUCAAAAUGAUGGUCAACGGCCGGUUGCAUCAGAUGAGGAUUUUGAUGAGGUUCCAAAUGAUGAUGGUAAACAGCCGCAUGAUUUUGACAAUGAUCAAAAAUAUCCUCCAAAUGAUGAUUCAAGUGAGGCUCCAAAUUGUGAUCCAAGUGAGCCUCCAAAUGGUGAUCCAAGUGAGGCUCCAAAUGGUGACCAACCUUCCAUCGUUGUGAGUUCUGCUAGGUAUGUAAAUCUUGCAAAUACUAUUGUACAUUUAUCACUUGACAUGAUCUCAUUACCCUUUAUGUUUUGUAUAGCUCUGCAGUAG
rnacentral:rRNA from 1 species